GGGGUUGUGACUCAGUGGCAGAGCGCUUGCCUAGCAUGCAUGAGGUACUGGGUUCGAUCCUCAGCACUACA
rnacentral:tRNA from 1 species